UCUUCAGGCGAACAUUGACAUCGAAGUGAUACCCUAUGAUAUCAAGAAAAAUCCUAUGGAACAAAGAAGCAGAUAAUGAUCACAGAAGUGCAACAAAGAGCACCAGGACCUGAUCAUCAAAUGUUAUGGUGUAGAUCUAAUCAGGAACAAGACACCUAAGUUGAACUCUGGCAAGGUUGUCCAGAAGAUUUGAUACCCAGGCUUCUUUUGUACAAGUCCCUAGUCCACCCUCAUCUUGAGAACUGUUCCGGUGUCUGGGAUCCCUACAACAUCUCAGAUGUCCAGGACGCUUCUUCACAAUGGGGACCACAAGAGAAGCAGCAGUUUGACUGAGAUGAUCAGCACCUUUUAGUUGCCUACUAUAUCUACAACUACAAGGCACUCUGCAGGAAGACUGGGAAUGGUGCGCAAGAUAGUCAAUGGUCUCUCCGCUCUUCCUUGAAAAUUUUCCCACUGCACUACUUAUAGCUAUUUGCGCCCUCUAUAUAGCAAACAAUGCCUAAUCUGUGCCUGUUGGUCCCCCAUGAUCCUCUUUUUCUUAUAUUAAUU
rnacentral:lncRNA from 1 species